rnacentral:rRNA from 1 species
AUUGAACGCUGGCGGCAUGCUUUACACAUGCAAGUCGGACGGCAGCACAGAGAAGCUUGCUUCUUGGGUGGCGAGUGGCGAACGGGUGAGUAAUAUAUCGGAACGUACCGAGUAAUGGGGGAUAACUAAUCGAAAGAUUAGCUAAUACCGCAUAUUCUCUGAGGAGGAAAGCAGGGGACCUUCGGGCCUUGCGUUAUUCGAGCGGCCGAUAUCUGAUUAGCUAGUUGGUGGGGUAAAGGCCUACCAAGGCGACGAUCAGUAGCGGGUCUGAGAGGAUGAUCCGCCACACUGGGACUGAGACACGGCCCAGACUCCUACGGGAGGCAGCAGUGGGGAAUUUUGGACAAUGGGCGCAAGCCUGAUCCAGCCAUGCCGCGUGUCUGAAGAAGGCCUUCGGGUUGUAAAGGACUUUUGUCAGGGAAGAAAAGGCUGUUGCUAAUAUCAAUAGCUGAUGACGGUACCUGAAGAAUAAGCACCGGCUAACUACGUGCCAGCAGCCGCGGUAAUACGUAGGGUGCGAGCGUUAAUCGGAAUUACUGGGCGUAAAGCGAGCGCAGACGGUUACUUAAGCAGGAUGUGAAAUCCCCGGGCUCAACCUGGGAACUGCGUUCUGAACUGGGUGACUAGAGUGUGUCAGAGGGAGGUAGAAUUCCACGUGUAGCAGUGAAAUGCGUAGAGAUGUGGAGGAAUACCGAUGGCGAAGGCAGCCUCCUGGGAUAACACUGACGUUCAUGCUCGAAAGCGUGGGUAGCAAANNGG